ACGAACGCUGGCGGCGUGCUUAACACAUGCAAGUCGAACGGAAAGGCCCUGCUUUUGUGGGGUGCUCGAGUGGCGAACGGGUGAGUAACACGUGAGUAACCUGCCCUUGACUUUGGGAUAACUUCAGGAAACUGGGGCUAAUACCGGAUAGGAGCUCCUGCUGCAUGGUGGGGGUUGGAAAGUUUCGGCGGUUGGGGAUGGACUCGCGGCUUAUCAGCUUGUUGGUGGGGUAGUGGCUUACCAAGGCUUUGACGGGUAGCCGGCCUGAGAGGGUGACCGGCCACAUUGGGACUGAGAUACGGCCCAGACUCCUACGGGAGGCAGCAGUGGGGAAUAUUGCACAAUGGGCGGAAGCCUGAUGCAGCAACGCCGCGUGCGGGAUGACGGCCUUCGGGUUGUAAACCGCUUUCGCCUGUGACGAAGCGUGAGUGACGGUAAUGGGUAAAGAAGCACCGGCUAACUACGUGCCAGCAGCCGCGGUGAUACGUACGGUGCGAGCGUUGUCCGGAUUUAUUGGGCGUAAAGGGCUCGUAGGUGGUUGAUCGCGUCGGAAGUGUAAUCUUGGGGCUUAACCCUGAGCGUGCUUUCGAUACGGGUUGACUUGAGGAAGGUAGGGGAGAAUGGAAUUCCUGGUGGAGCGGUGGAAUGCGCAGAUAUCAGGAGGAACACCAGUGGCGAAGGCGGUUCUCUGGGCCUUUCCUGACGCUGAGGAGCGAAAGCGUGGGGAGCGAACAGGCUUAGAUACCCUGGUAGUCCACGCUGUAAACGGUGGGUACUAGGUGUGGGGUCCAUUCCACGGGUUCCGUGCCGUAGCUAACGCUUUAAGUACCCCGCCUGGGGAGUACGGCCGCAAGGCUAAAACUCAAAGGAAUUGACGGGGCCCCGCACAAGCGGCGGAGCAUGCGGAUUAAUUCGAUGCAACGCGUAGAACCUUACCUGGGUUUGACAUGGAUCGGGAGCGCUCAGAGAUGGGUGUGCCUCUUUUGGGGUCGGUUCACAGGUGGUGCAUGGCUGUCGUCAGCUCGUGUCGUGAGAUGUUGGGUUAAGUCCCGCAACGAGCGCAACCCUUGUUCACUGUUGCCAGCACGUUAUGGUGGGGACUCAGUGGAGACCGCCGGGGUCAACUCGGAGGAAGGUGGGGAUGACGUCAAGUCAUCAUGCCCCUUAUGUCCAGGGCUUCACGCAUGCUACAAUGGCUGGUACAGAGAGUGGCGAGCCUGUGAGGGUGAGCGAAUCUCGGAAAGCCGGUCUCAGUUCGGAUUGGGGUCUGCAACUCGACCCCAUGAAGUCGGAGUCGCUAGUAAUCGCAGAUCAGCAACGCUGCGGUGAAUACGUUCCCGGG
rnacentral:rRNA from 1 species